CUCUCUUGACACUCCGUCAGCAAGCGAAUCACUUGGUAUUUCUUCUUCUUUUUACUUGUGAUUUCUUGUUAUUUAAUCUCCUUCAUGAUAAGGACCAUAUUUUGUAAUAAUUCCCUUGCCAUAGCAACCACUGAUUGGAUGUCUCUGAUGGGCCAGGCACUGUGCCAGAACUGAAGGGAUGAGCGUGCAGUCCGUGGACACUUGCUGCUUUGCAAAAGUGUGCUACCGAUCUGUGAAGGGGCUGCAGUCCUGAUUUCCUCAAGAUGAGAAGAAGAUGGAUGAAGAUGUUAAAUUAACCAUGGUCAAAACAGUUUCAUGAAAAAAGCAAACAGAAAGUGCUCUUCCUUUUCCCAGGCACUUGAGGUUGAACCCUUGGAAAGGAAAACAAGCA